CCUUCGGGAGGCAGCAGUGAGGAAUAUUGGUCAAUGGGCGGAAGCCUGAAGCAGCAACGCCGCGUGGAGGAUGAAGGUUUUCGGAUUGUAAACUCCUUUUGUUAGAGAAGAUAAUGACGGUAUCUAACGAAUAAGCACCGGCUAACUCCGUGCCAGCAGCCGCGGUAAUACGGCGGGUGCAAGCGUUACUCGGAAUCACUGGGCGUAAAGAGCGCGUAGGCGGGAUAGCAAGUCAGAUGUGAAAUCCUAUGGCUUAACCAUAGAACUGCAUUUGAAACUGUUAUUCUAGAGUAUGGGAGAGGUAGGUGGAAUGCUUGGUGUAGGGGUAAAAUCCAUAGAGAUCAAGAGGAAUACUCAUUGCGAAGGCGACCUGCUAGAACAUAACUGACGCUGAUGCGCGAAAGUGUGGGGAGCAAACAGGAUUAGAUACCCGGGUGGUC
rnacentral:rRNA from 1 species